AGCGAACGCUGGCGGCAGGCCUAACACAUGCAAGUCGAACGAACUCUUCGGAGUUAGUGGCGGACGGGUGAGUAACACGUGGGAACGUGCCUUUAGGUUCGGAAUAACUCAGGGAAACUUGUGCUAAUACCGAAUGUGCCCUUCGGGGGAAAGAUUUAUCGCCUUUAGAGCGGCCCGCGUCUGAUUAGCUAGUUGGGGAGGUAAAGGCUCACCAAGGCGACGAUCAGUAGCUGGUCUGAGAGGAUGAUCAGCCACAUUGGGACUGAGACACGGCCCAAACUCCUACGGGAGGCAGCAGUGGGGAAUCUUGCGCAAUGGGCGAAAGCCUGACGCAGCCAGGCCGCGUGAAUGAUGAAGGUCUUAGGAUUGUAAAAUUCUUUCACCGGGGACGAUAAUGACGGUACCCGGAGAAGAAGCCCCGGCUAACUUCGUG
rnacentral:rRNA from 1 species